rnacentral:rRNA from 1 species
GGGCGUGGCGGCGUGCCUAAACUUGCAAGNCUGAACGAAAGCGCUUUUUCCCGAAAUCUCCGGAGGAGGGAAACCGGCGAACCGGUCGGGCGGAACGGGUGAGUAACGCGCGGGGAAACCGCCCCGUACCGGGGGAUAACAGCCGGAAACGGCUUGCUAAUACCGCAUAAGCGCACAGUGCCGCAUGGCACGGUGUGAAAAACCACGGUGGUACAGGAUGGCCCCGCGUCUGAUUAGUUGGUUGGCAGGGUAACGGCCUACCAAGACGGCGAUCAGUAGCCGGCCUGAGAGGGUGAACGGCCACACUGGGACUGAGACACGGCCCAGACUCCUGCGGGAGGCAGCAGUGGGGAAUAUUGCACAAUGGGGGAAACCCUGAUGCAGCGACGCCGCGUGAGCGAGGAAGUAUUUCGGUAUGUAAAGCUCUGUCAGCAGGGAAGAAGAAUGACGGUACCUGAAGAAGAAGCACCGGCUAAAUACGUGCCAGCAGCCGCGGUAAUACGUAUGGUGCAAGCGUUAUCCGGAUUUACUGGGUGUAAAGGGAGCGCAGGCGGUUCUGCAAGUCUGAUGUGAAAGCCCGGGGCUCAACCGCGGGACUGCAUUGGAAACUGCGGGACUGGAGUGUCGGAGGGGUAAGCGGAAUUCCUGGUGUAGCGGUGAAAUGCGUAAAUAUCAGGAGGAACACCGGUGGCCAAGGCGGCUUACUGGACGAUGACUGACCCUUGAGCUCCAAAGCCUGGGGAGCAAACAGGAUUAAAUACCCUGGUAGUCCACGCCGUAAACGAUGAAUACCAGGUUUCGGG